AGGACGAACGCUGGCGGCGUGCUUAACACAUGCAAGUCGAGCGGAAAGGCCCUUCGGGGUACUCGAGCGGCGAACGGGUGAGUAACACGUGAGUAAUCUGCCCCUAGCUCUGGGAUAGCUCCGGGAAACCGGGAUUAAUACCAGAUAUUACCACUUUAGACAUCUCUUGUGGUGGAAAGAUUUCGGCUAGGGAUGAACUCGCGGCCUAUCAGCUUGUUGGUGAGGUAACGGCUCACCAAGGCGACGACGGGUA
rnacentral:rRNA from 1 species